GGGGAAGGGGAAGCUGUGAGAGAAGCCCAGAGGGGAACCCUGCCCAAGCUGCUUGGAGGAGCACCUGGCCCCUCUGCAGGCCUCCCCCAGCGAGGCGGACUCUUCUCCAAGUGCCUGUGUGAGCUCUGAUUGAUAUGCUGCUGCUUCUGCCACUGCCACCACUGCCAAAGAAGAAAAGCUGACCAUAUACAAAGGCUGAGAACAACAUCUGGACACGCUGUCACUGCCUGUGCAGUGUGGUUGAGGCAUGUCAGUGUUCACUUGCAAUGGUCCUGCAAUUGCCUUCCAAAAAAACCAUGCAUAGUGGACACAUUGUAAAGUCCAAUAAAUCAAGUGGUUAGCAACCCAUGUAUGGUGGAUGCCCGCCUGCUGCCUCUGCUGUCUGCCCCGCUGGCCAAAGGGUGCCCUCCCUGCUUGCAAGUAAAGGCCAAUAAAUGUUGACGUGUUUAGCUCCUGUUUUUC